rnacentral:rRNA from 1 species
GGCCUACCAUGGUGGUAACGGGUAACGGGGUGUUAGGGCACGACACCGGAGAGGGAGCCUGAGAAACGGCUACCACAUCCAAGGAUGGCAGCAGGCGCGCAAAUUACCCAAUCCCGACACGGGGAGGUAGUGACAAUAAAUAACAAUACGGGGUCCUUUCGGAUCUCGUAAUUGGAAUGAGUACAAUUUAAAUCUCUUAACGAGGAACAAUUGGAGGGCAAGUCUGGUGCCAGCAGCCGCGGUAAUUCCAGCUCCAAUAGCGUAUAUUAAAGUUGUUGCAGUUAAAAAGCUCGUAGUUGAAUUUCGGGAUCAGAUUGUCGGUCGUGCCUCGGUACGCACUGGCAUUAUUGGUUCCUACCUUCUGAAGAACCGCGAUGUCAUUAAUUUGGUGUCGUGGGGAAUCAGGACUGUUACUUUGAAAAAAUUAGAGUGUUUAAAGCAGGCGCACGCUUGAAUACAUUAGCAUGGAAUAAUGAAAUAGGACGUUUGAUUCUAUUUUGUUGGUUUCUAGGAUCGACGUAAUGAUUAAUAGGGAUAGUUGGGGGCAUUAGUAUUCAAUUGUCAGAGGUGAAAUUCUUGGAUUUAUUGAAGACUAACUACUGCGAAAGCAUUUGCCAAGGAUGUUUUCAUUAAUCAAGAACGAAAGUUAGGGGAUCGAAGACGAUCAGAUACCGUCGUAGUCUUAACCAUAAACUAUGCCGACUAGGGAUCGGAUGAUGUUAAUUUUUUAAUGACUCAUUCGGCGCCUUACGGGAAACCAAAGUGUUUGGGUUCA